ensembl:lncRNA
AGAAACAGAUUGGUAAUAAAGUUCUAUUUUUUGACGGGUCUCCUCCAUGGCUGUUGUUCUCCUGGAUGGACCCCUGGCUGGGGGACAGGCUUGAGUGAUGAUGAUGAUGAUGAUGAUGAUGAAUCAGUCAGGAUGUGCUAGCCAUGUUGCUGUAACAAAACCCUCAAAUCUCAAGGGCUCAAAACAACAAAAGUUGGUUUAUCCUUCGCACUACCAUCCAUCGCAGUGGCAGGGAGGAUCCCUCUCACUGAGCAGUUGCCACCUUGACCUUGGGCUACCAGAGGAAAGUGAGUUCUGGGGAUCCUCAUGGCCAUGAAAGGCUCUGGCCUAGAAGGGACAUGUCACUUCUGCUCACACCUCACUGGCCAUAAACUGGUCACAUGACACCCCCUCCCCCUCAAAAAGACCACCAGGAAGCACAAUUUCCCCACGGGCUUGGGAGGAUGGGGAACUGGAAACUUUGGCCAACAUCUCUAAGGACAUCUCAACCACCACCACCAAUAACACCACAAGCAGCAGAGGCCACGUAUCAGCUCCUCCCGUGCCCUGGACGCCAGGCUAAGGACCUGAAGUGGGAGUUUCACUUACUAUUCAUGGUAAUGUCCUGAUGUCAGGACUAUGCAUAUCUUGCGUUCCAGAUGAGAGUUAAAGCCUACACAGUAAAGGGACUUGCCAAGGUCACAGAGCUCAUGAGGAUGGGGUUGAGAUCGGAACUCCUGUCUGUGUGUGCCAGGCCUUUACAUACCCCACUGCCUGGCACACGUGCUUGGGGAGGCUGGCUAGUGGUUAAAGACUGCCCUAGGGAGACAGCCCCUCAUGUGGAGGGCCAUUCUGACCACCCUACCACAAAGAGCCCCGUCAAACUGCCAUAUCCACUUCCAGGCGUCCAGUGCUGGAACCCCUGGAGAUGAUGCGGUUAGUCCCAGAUUCUGCUAAGAGACAGGCCCAGAGGGAGUAGUGCUGGAGCCAAGGUCACACCUUGUGCAGGGCUGAAACGAGACUUCAAGUCUUUGUCCACCAUGGUCUGAGUGUCCCUGGCUGCCACAAAACUGGGUGUCCAGGGAUAGCCUCUGCCUCAGGAAAGCCCCUCAGAAGUGAGGGUGAGCACACGCACUCCACCUUCUUGGCAAGCCAGGCGAGGGCACAAUGGUCCACCGUGGCAGAGUCCCCAGGUCCUGGCCCAUCAAGCCUGCUGCUCUGACUGCCUGGGCCACUCCCCGAGGAGCCGGGCUGCCCUGGUGCACGGUGACUCACUGCUCCCACAGACAGUCCCCAAUAGGGAGAUCCGGGUGAGGGGAGACCAUGCUCCAAGGCUCCACAGCCAGGACCUCUAAGACAAGGACUUGGGCCUUCUGAGAAGCCAGAUGAAGGUUCAGCGCAGAGUGGAAUGGAACAAAAGAAAAGGGGUUGGUGGAGUUUGAAAACAGCCCCAGCUAGGCAUGAAGGCUCAUGCCUGUAAUCUCAGCACUUUGGGAGGCCAAGGCGGAAGGAUCAUUUGAGCUCAGGAGAUCGAGGCUAGUGAUCUGCACUCCAGCCUGGGCAAACAGAGUGAGCCCCUGGUGAACUAAAACAGAAACAAAAACAGACCCAGCUCUGCUCUGUGACCUUAACCUCUCUGAGCCUCAGUUUUCACUAUGCUUGUUUUGCCCACCAAUGGCCCCUGAGCCCCAGAGCCAUGAUCUAACAUCUUUCCAGUGCCACAGCUGGGUCCCCACCCCAAAAAGAUUAUGGGAGAACACCUGCUCCCGACGCUGCACGAAUACACUGCCCUGAGAGAGUCCCUUCCAAAAGUUUUGGGCCUAAGGGCUUGAUCAGAAAGCAGUCCUCACCCAGCAUGGAAACCCUCACCCAUUAUAUUCCCCAGGUUUUGCUGAUGAUUCUGACUUGCAGUGCAGCCUUCCUGUGUCAGCCUGGCCUCCAAGCAGGGCGGUAGGGGGCGCAGCUGUCCUCCUGACCCUGACCUGGACAGGAAGUUGGAUCCUUCCUAGCCUCCUGUGAGCCCACUCCCUGCCUGGAAGCUUUGAGUCUCCAAGUCCCCUUACAGCCCCUGUCCAACUCCUGGGCGUGGAGGUGCAGGUUGGGAGGGAGAGUGAUGGAGCCUCCCCACUGCUUCUGAGCCCUGCCCAUGGCUGACUGGCCCAAUCAUCCAGUUCACAAGCAUUUAUUGAGCACUUACUACAUGCAAAGUGCAGUGCUAACCACCCUCAGAGAGACGAAGUUGAAAGGCAGGGCCCCACCUCCUCACAGUCUUGCAGAAGCAGCAGAUGCAUUACUGAUGCCCCACAGCUCCGCAGUUACACACACAGGCUUUGAAGUCACACAGCCCUGGGUGUGAGGCUUAAUUUUGCCACCUCAGAGAUGAGUGACUUUGAGCUCACUCCUCACCCCAACCGGCCUCAGUGUCUGC